rnacentral:rRNA from 1 species
UACGGAGGAUCCAAGCGUUAUCCGGAUUUAUUGGGUUUAAAGGGUGCGCAGGUUGUUUGAUAAGUCAGUGGUGAAAGUCUGUCGCUUAACGGUAGGAUUGCCAUUGAUACUGUUAGACUUGAAUAUGGAUGAGGUAGGCGGAAUGUGUAGUGUAGCGGUGAAAUGCAUAGAUAUUACACAGAACACCGAUUGCGAAGGCAGCUUACUAAUCCAUCAUUGACGCUGAGGCACGAAAGCGUGGGGAGUCAAACAGGA